GACGUAGGGCGCGAGCGUUGUCCGGAUUUAUUGGGCGUAAAGAGCUCGUAGGCGGCUUGUCGCGUCGUCCGUGAAAACCUGCAGCUCAACUGCAGGCUUGCGGUCGAUACGGGCAGGCUAGAGUUCGGUAGGGGAGACUGGAAUUUCUGGUGUAGCGGUGAAAUGCGCAGAUAUCAGGAAGAACGCCAAUGGCGAAAGCAGCUUUCUGGGACGGUACUGACGCUGAGACGCGAAAGCGUGGGGAGCGAACAGG
rnacentral:rRNA from 1 species